GUGCUCACUUUGGCAGCACAUAUACUUAAAUUGGAAUGAUACAAAGAAGAUUAGCAUGGCCUCUGCUCAAGGAUGACAUGCAAAUUGGUGAAGCAUUUCAUGUUUUU
rnacentral:snRNA from 1 species